UAGGGAAUAUUGGGCAAUGGAGGGAACUCUGACCCAGCCAUGCCGCGUGCAGGAUGAAGGCGUUAUGCGUUGUAAACUGCUUUUGCCAGGGGAUAAAAAGACCGUGCGCGGUUAAUUGAAGGUACCUGGUGAAUAAGCCACGGCUAACUACGUGCCAGCAGCCGCGGUAAUGCGUAGGUGGCAAGCGUUGUCCGGAUUUAUUGGGUUUAAAGGGUGCGUAGGUGGCCCUGUAAGUCAGUGGUGAAAUAUCUCAGCUUAACUGAGAGGGUGCCAUUGAUACUGCAGGGCUUGAGUACAGAUGAGGUAGGCGGAAUUGACGGUGUAGCGGUGAAAUGCAUAGAUAUCGUCAAGAACACCGAUAGCGAAGGCAGCUUACCAAGCUGUAACUGACACUGAGGCACGAAAGUGUGGGGAUCAAACAGGAUUAGAUACCCCAGUAGUCCCUGAGCGGGCUGGCAAGGCGCAU
rnacentral:rRNA from 1 species